GAUUCCAACUCCUAGUAACCCUAUGCCAGAGUAGAAAUGCCCCAAAGGGUUUCCAAGGAGUACCUAGUAGAUUCAAACUGCCGACCUUUUGGUUAGCACAGCCACAGCUCUUAACCACUAUGCCACCCAGUGGUGCAGUGGUUAAGCAUUCAGGUUGGCAGUUUAAACUUAGCAGCCGCUCCACGGGAGAAAGAUGUGGCAGUCUGUUUCCAUGAAGAUUACAGCCUUGGAAACCCUAUGGGGCAGGUCUACUCUGUCCUAUAGGGUCACAAUGAGUCGGAAUCGACUCCAUGGCAAUGGGUUUGGUUUUGGUUUUGAGGAAGAGGGAGGAAGUCUCUGGGUGGCGUGAACAGUUAAGCACUCCACCAGCGGGACGGUUGUUGGUUCAAACCCACCCCAGGGCACUAAGAAGACAGGCCUGGUGGUCUGCUUCCAAAAGGUCACAAUUUUGAAAACCCUAUGGAGCAGUUCUACUGUGCACACAUGGAUUGCCAGGAGUUGGAACUGACUCAACAGCAACUAACAAUGAGGGUGAGAAGAGGAGGAGAAAAAAGAGAAAAGGAGGAAAGAGGGGAGAGUUUAUUAGUGAAUAAAUAAAUACCUCACACAACUUGACUAGAAAAGAACAUCAUGGCUGGUAAAGCAGAGGGUCAGCAAAAACAAGGGAAACCCUCAAUGAGAUGGACUGACACACAGUCACAAUGGACUCAAACAUACCAAUGAUCAUGAGGAUGGUGCAGGACUGGACAAUGUUUUGUUCUGUUGUACAUAAGGCUGCCAGGAAUCAGAGUCAACUUGGAGACAACUAACAAAAACAUGCAACUUAAGACAGGGAUGAAGAGACAGAAUAAAAGGAAAUAUAGUACUGACUUCCCAAAUGUCAGAAACAUUUUAAUAAAUCUGAAAUCGACUUCACUUUCUGAGUCAAGAAAUCCAAUUUCUUCUAUCAUGAACAUUUACAAUGAGAAAGUGAAGACUUAGUCUCUGCUAGGACACCUGGUCUUGGCUGUUUAAACGACAGUGGUCUCUGAAGGCUUAGCUUAGUAUGUUCACAUCAGACAAGCACUGGAAAGGCUAGGAAGCUACAGAAGAUGAGGUAUGAUGGGAAAUCCAGAAAUCAUUUAUUGCAAUAUUCUGGGGAAUAUUCACUCUGUUUAUAUAUGCCUUAUGCAAAUUAAGAGCCCUUAAUGAACUCAGGACAAUUAUAAAAUACAAUGAAAAACAUCAACACCAUUAAACUACCUCUCAGUUAUUGGUAAAAGUAGUAGAACUGGUCAUAGCAUGAAUAAAAAAAUACUACAGAUAAUCUUAAAAUCAUUUAUUUUAAUCGCCUUCAGGAGAACUAUCUUAUCAUAAAAUGUAGCCUCAAUUUACAGACAGCUGAGUUCCAGAAGUUCAUCUGUAAGAUGACACUAUUUCCCAUGGCAACAGUAUCAGAGAUUUCCAGGCUCUUCUAUAAGACUCUACAUGAACCACUACAUAGCUGAAAUAUAACACAUAUACAAUAAAACCACACUAGUUCAUAAACAUUUGUUUACAUAUUAUAAGUAUUAUAAAUAUUAAAUACAUUUAAAAUAUUUUUAAAGCUAUGAAUAUACCGUCUUAUCUAUUCAGCAAAACAUAAAAACAUUACAGAGAUUUUUGUUUUCAUUAUUUAAUCUUAAAAGCUGGUACUGAGAGAAAGCAGGUGAUGAGGAUGGAAACUCACAAAAGUUCAAACAGAUAAGUAUGGAAACUUACCAGGGCUCUUCAUUACCUAGUUAUACUUCAAGGUGACGUCAAGGAAAAGGAAGCCACGUACUCUCACACUAACCCUACACUUGGCCACAGGGGGUCAUGCGGAGUCUCAUAAACUGAGUAAGUUUCCUCUUUUUUCACUCAGAUGAUAAAAUUUCCUCAAACCAAGAUACUCUCGCCUCUAGCAAAUCUCCCCAUUUGCCUGGGUUCUUCCAAUCUGACCCCAGCCUGUCUCCUCUCAGCCCCUGGGCAUCUCAGACGGGAAGCUGGCACUAACUAGGCUCCUUCUCUUGCCCUUCUCCUUCAGCCAUGACCUCAGAGCCUCCCUGUGGCCCUGUGUUCACCUCAGCCUCAAGCUCUUUAAGCUGUGAAUUCAAGCAGGAGUGAAUAAAGAAUCUUGAUCCUCUCCUGAGCUGGGCCUUUCUCCAGAAGGGCCACCGCUGAUCUUCGGUACCCUCCUGGUGUCCACUACAUAGAACCCAGGAUGAAUAGUACAUUUGAUAUGCAAGGCCUAUCACCAAUUACUCUAGACUUCUACUUUUUUUAACAAAACAUCAGACACUACUGCUUUAUGAUACAACAUAGUCACCGUCCCUACAAGCACUAGUUCAAGCACACGGCCUGAACAGGUAAGCUAUUCAGAGCGCAUCCAUUAUUCAGGAGUUGCUUCAACAGGGAGAGAAGGCCCUGUAUCUUCUCAAGAAUUCAGAAAGGUGAGGAUCUGAUGACCAGACUGUCAUCCUGGCUCUAUUGUUACAGUACCAGCUACAGAACUGAGCAUCUCACUACCAUUCUGGGUCUGCUUUUUUAACCUAAGAUGAAGAGUAGGUGGUGAUCCUUCAAUUAUAAAAUGAUUCAAACAAAAAGCAUGACAAGGACAGGCAAAAAUUAGAUGGAACAGUCAUGUCAUCCUCCCCUAUAGACAAAAUUCUUCCAAUUCCAUUUUCUACCUAAUUUUUUUCAAGGCUUAGCAAAAAGAUCACUAAUGUAGCAUUAUUUUCUAAAUAAGCGGUUUUCAGCUUUUUUCCUGCCUCCUGCCAGCCUGAAAGGCAGACACAGUCCCACCAUAUUGCCCAUCAGUAAUAACUUGCUGUAACAGCAGGGGUCGGAGGUGUGGAAUCACUGUUCAAAACCAUUCUGGACAAGCAUGCUGCUAUGACAGUGAAACUCGAGACACACCCCCACCACACACACACACGCGCACACACACACACUCAAUUUUCAAAGUGCAACAUUAAAAAUAUUAGCAACCAAUAAGGAAACACCCAUGUGUUUUUUUUUUAAGCAAGUUCAUUUUUAUUUACUUAGUAUGUAUACAGUACAUACUACGUGCCAGACACUACUGUAGCCACUCUAUGAAAAUCACUUCACUCCAUCCUCAUGACGAUCCAGUGAAAUCCACAUUAUUUGGCUCAUUUUCUAGAUGAGGAGACAGGCACAGAGAAGUUACAUAAGUUAGUAAGUGGCAGAGCUGGAACUCAAACUCAGACAAUGUUUAAAGGCACAGACUGUUGCCAAACAGUCCAGAAGAAUGCCACUUUUUGUCUGGGGUCUUAGAUGCUAGCAAGCAGCCAUCUAAGAUGCAUCAAUUGGUUUCAACCCACCUGGAUCAAAGGAAAAUGAAGAACACCAAGGACACAAGGGAAUUAUGAGCCCAAGAGACAGAAAGGGCCACAUGAACCAGAGACUACAUCAGCCUGAGACCGGAAGAACUAGAUGGUGCCCAGCUACAACUAAUAACUGCCCUGACAGGGAACACAACAGAGAACCCCUGAGGCAGCAGGAGAGCAGUAGGAUGCAGACCCCAAAUUCUCAUAAAAAGACCAGACUUCAUGGUCUGACUGAGACUGGAAGGACCCCAGUGGUCAUGGCCCUCCACCUUCUGCUGACCAGGACAGGAACCAUUCCCGAAGCCAACUCUUCAGACAUGGAUUGGACUGGACAAUGGGUUGGAGAGGGAUGCUGGUGAGGAGUGAGUGUCUUGGUUCAGGUGGACACUUGAGACUAUGUUGGCAUCUCCUGCCUAGAGAGUAGAUGAGAGGGUAGAGGGGGUUAGAAGCUGGCGAAACAGACACGAAAAGAGAGAGUGGAGGGAGAGAGCAGGCUGUCUCAUCAGGGGGAGAGUAAUUGGGAGUAUGUAGCAAGGUUGUGUGAGAGACUGACUUGAUUUGCAAACUUUCACUUAAAGCACAAUUAAAAUUAAAAAAAAAAAAAAAGAAUGCCACUUUUGUGUCUGUGUAUUUACCCCACUGGUUGAGUUGAUUUCAACUCACAGCGACCCUAUAGGGCAGAGUACAACUGCCCCCACUGGGUUUCCAAGGCUGUAAAUCUUUACAGAAGCAGACUGCCACAUCUUUCUUCCGCAGAGCAGCUGCUGGGUUCAAACCACAGACCUCUCAGUUAGCAGCCGAGCACUUAAUCACUGCAUCACCAGGGACUCUUGUCUGUGUAUAUACCUGCAUGUAAAUGUUUAAAAGUCUGGGAGGUUAUACAAUAACCGUUACCAAUUAUAUAAAAAGAAUGGGAUUGGGGAUUGGAGCUACGUGGACCUAUUUUCACUUUCAAUUAUACUGUUUGAGUUUUUUCAAAAACCAUUACUAUUUUUAUAUUAAAAAUUAAUUUUAAAAUGUAUUAAAUUUGAGGAUAUUGGUAUAAAAAAAAUA